rnacentral:ncRNA from 1 species
AAGCAAGGGGAGCGAUCGCUGAGAGUUCAGGAAUACCUGAAGACCCUCAUUACCUGAUCCGGAUAAUGCCGGCGCAGGGAAGCAGAAUA